rnacentral:lncRNA from 1 species
UGGGCCCCAAUUCAGAAGGCCAUCUAGGAUUAUUCAAAAACCAGUGGAUUUGGCAUCACAUUUGUUAAAGCUAUUCAUAGCUCUUCCUCUUCCUUUAGAUUUAUUAAUGAGCAGAAAAAAUUUUUUAAAGAACCGGUAAUAAGUAUGGUUUGGGUGACUUUGAAAUAUAAGGAUAUUUCAGCAAAUCUAACUUUUAGAAGACAUGGAUAUAUGUAGUUUAUAUAUUCCAAGUUAGAGGUGAUGAUUUGAACUGAUACCUGAUUACAAAUUUGUCUUUUGGAUUCUCAUCUCUUAUCACAUCAGUUUCUCAGCCUCCCAAUUCAAAUUACGAUUUUCCCAAAGUGCUUAGCACACCCCACUGCAGCCUGCUUCCUGGGCCCAGAUCCUUGUGGGAGGGUCCCAAACAUUAUUAACAUAUACACAAUGUGCAUCCUGCUCUCUGAGGAUAUUCCUUUGACAAGAGAUCCACCUGAGAGCCUAGGAGUUAGGAACAUAAAGUAGUGAGGUUUGGAAGCCUUAGGAAAUUUCCAAAAUAAACACUUUCUAAAAGAAGACACAUGAAUUAGAAAAAUAAGGACCCAAAUAGGUCAGAGACUAGAAAUUAGAAAGAAGAGGAGAUUCGCACAUUAGAGACCUGGGUUCAGAGAACUGAUCCACUGAACACUAAAUUGAACUGUUUGCCUCAUAGCAAUCAAAGGAAAUGAGGAAAUGUGUAAAGCUUUAUAGUUUCCAGGGUUUGAUAAAGGAAUCUUGUAAGAUCUUUGGUAGGAACUUAUUUUUCUCCUAGCAAUAAAUUCUUGGAGGUUUUUAUUGGAUUGGAUUUUAUCUAAAUGACAAUACAGACUGAAAAGUGGCUCACCAAAGAUGUAGAAAUGAUUUUCUUAUAACCAUCUCUUAUGCUGACCUGUAGUAAACACUGAGGGUAAGCUGUUUAUUAAAUCAUAACUCAGCAAAGAUAUAUCUUUGGGGAGUUUAGCUAAUGUGGUCCAGACCAUAGCUUUCUGGUGAUUUAUCCUGACAUACAGACAGAGCUCAGGGGGCUGAGAGGAAUGGGUAGUUAGCAUGACUCAGAGAUCCUCACUGUCAAGAAUUCAUUGUUUUUGUUGAUUCUUAGGGGCCAGAGAAUGGUCCAAGAAGUUGAAAGCAAAAUGAGCUUUGUGCUCUGGUUAUAGAUACUGAUGUUGAAAUUUGGUCGUGAAAUGCCAUGGUUUGAAAGGAUCCACUCUGAAGUCUCAGUGUUUCCAGUGUGUUCGGAGUAAGAGGUGGAGCCUCAAAGAAGUGAUUAUGUCAUGAGGCUCCUCCUGUGGGAGUGGAAUUAGAACCCCUUCAGAAGGGGAUUGACAAAGGAGGUUUGUUCUCUCUUGCCCUUCUGCCCUUUACUCUGUGAGGACACAGCAAGAAAGCUCUUGCCAGUUGUCAGCACCCUGAUUUGGAC